GCUCAGUUGGUUGAGGGUCUGACUCUUGAUUUUGACUCAGGUCAUGAUCUCACGAUUCAUGGGUUCAAGCCCCAUAUGGGGCU
rnacentral:tRNA from 1 species